UAUACAAGGUGCGUGCAUGGUUGUCGUCAGCUCGUGCCGUGAGGUGUCGGGUUAAGUCCCAUAACGAGCGCAACCCUAUCAUUAGUUGCCAUCAGGUCAAGCUGGGGACUCUAAUGAAACUGCCUACGCAAGUAGUGAGGAAGGUGGGGAUGACGUCAAAUCAGCACGGCCCUUACGUCCAGGGCUACACACGUGCUACAAUGGCCGGUACAAAGGGCAGCUACCUGGUGACAGGAUGCUAAUCUCAAAAGCCGGUCUCAGUUCGGAUCGGAGUCUGCAACCCGACUCCGUGAAGUUGGAUUCGCUAGUAAUCGCGCAUCAGCCAUGGCGCGGUGAAUACGUUCCCGGGCCUU
rnacentral:rRNA from 1 species